AGGACGAACGCUGGCGGUGUGCUUAACACAUGCAAGUCGAGCGGAAAGGCCCUUCGGGGUACUCGAGCGGCGAACGGGUGAGUAACACGUGAGUAAUCUGCCCCUAGCUCUGGGAUAGCUCCGGGAAACCGGGAUUAAUACCAGAUACGACCACUUUAGACAUCUGUUGUGGUGGAAAGAAUUUUGGCUAGGGAUGAGCUCGCGGCCUAUCAGCUUGUUGGUGAGGUAACGGCUCACCAAGGCGACGACGGGUA
rnacentral:rRNA from 1 species